AACAACUUGAGGGGAAAAAUCAGGUUCGAGGUUUAGAGUUUUGCCUAAACACACCUUUAGGCAGCUAAAAGUCGCUUGUCAGGAAAACAAAAAAGCCUAGUUUUAAGAAUUUGAACAAACAACCAACGCAGGGGUUGAACUAUCAGAGCUGAACCAAUUCAGUUCCAUCAAGAAAAAAAAAAAUCUUCAGCUGCACUCCUGACAAAAGUAAAUGAGCAAAUGAACUCUAUGUCACAUAAUUUGAAAUCUGUGCUGUGUACCUUGACUGUGCCCUCACAUCUGUGCAAGGUUGCUUUUCUUUGUUACCGUGGUGCUUCCAGGCUGAAAGGGUCAGUCUCUCUGUAAUAUCAGCCAAUCCUACAGAGUCUGCCUCUGACUCAUUUCCUGGUCGCCUCUAUCACUCCAUCCUCUGUUACGCCACCCAUCAAAUGGAACUUUCCACUACAUUCACCCCUGACUAACGCCUUUUCUGAGAUAAUACUGAAUGACUGAAUGAAAUUUUUAUGAGAGAAAUGGAACAAUAAAGACAUCCGCAGAUACAGACUAACUGGCCAGAAUACUUGAGGCUGUGGUUUAAGAAUAAAACAGAAAAGGAACGAAGUGCGUUUAUUAAAUCUGAGAAAGACUAUUUGAAUACAAAGAGAAAGAUGGAAAAAGCAAGAAAGCUACUCAUAUGCCUUUCUAUUUCUCCUGCUACUGGCUCUCCUCUCCUUCGCCAGCCUGCAUUCAAAAGGAAUGAAGGCCGGGUGGUAUGACAAAUUGUCCAGGAGUGCGAAGCCACGUGUACCACAAUCCAUCCCUUUACUCCCUUUUUUUUCUCUCCACAUCCUGCAGCCUGUCCUUCCCUAUCCCCUUGCCCCUUUCUCCAUGCCUAGCUAUGUGUUAUGAAUUCAUCUGCAGAUAAAGCAGAUCUAUCAUUCUGUCAUGGAGGCAGGGAAGGGAGGUAGACUGUGGAAUGCCCUGGCACUGAGAGCAGGGAAGGGCUCUAAGCAUAGUGCUACGCUUCCUCGCACAUUCCCUGCUGCACCCUCUCCGGCUCAGUCUGCUUGUCUAUUUUCAUGAUCCAUGCAGUGCCCCCGCAGCCCGUCUUACCUGUACCAACCAAACCCACCCCAGCCAUCCGAACCAAGCAGCCCAUAACUGUAAUAACACAGUGCAUGGCUUAACAAGAAAUCCCACCUCCUCUCUCCCUCAGUUAUAAACCCACAGCUUACCAGUAAGGUAAGCUGUGGCCUGGACUGGCUUGACUGACUUCCAGCACCAGUCUCCAGUUACACUGGAUAACACCCUGCUUGCCAAUCAGAUAGGAGACAAAUUACAGGACAUGUGCACAACACGGUAGACAGAAGAGUAGGAUCCAGAAUCAUUGUGCCCACUUGAGCCAAAAUACCCAGAUUGACUUCACUGAUAUCGCUGUGUCCAACACAUUUACAGUAUCUGGAAUAAUGAGAUAGCAGGCGGAAAUACUGCAGUGUGAUGUCUGUGCAAUGUGUGUGCAUAUGUUGUGUGUGUGACUUACACUGUACACUGCAUAUGUACAUGCACACAUACUUGUCUUCAUGACCUUUUCCACACUCUCUCAUUGUUGUUGGUAGAUUUAUAGUGUGACCUGAUGUGCACUCAGUGUCCGGGCAUCCACAACUGUGUAAAGUGUAUACGGUACCUUUAUAACUGAAGGGAUAAUGGAUGUUACUUAUAUCCCAUUUGUUUUCUUUCUUGUCUUAGCUUCUCCUCUUCUGAAAGAGUUUUAGUUGCAGUAAGAAGACUUCUGACUUUGUUUAUAUACUAACAAAAACAUUUUGCAAGAAAUGUGUUAUAAUGAUUCAUUUAUUUUUAUUUUGUACUUGUACUUUUGUACUACUCACUUGAUUAAAGUUAGGAAAAGGGUCUUGGUUACAGUUAAAAAAGUCCAUUCUGACUUUGUCGAAUACUGACGUUUAAGACAAAAUAUCUGCAAAACUAUUGACAUUUCCAUCAGGCUAAGCUGUUCUUUGUGUUUAUUUGCAGAUGUUUGCAUGCUAAUGCCCAAAGCUACGAUGGUGAGAGUGGCAAACAUAAUGCCUGACAUUAAGAACAUCAUCACAGAGCCACUAUUUGUCGUCUCCAAGUCUAAUUCAAAUGUUUUUGUCACCCAAAUCUAAGAAACACGUGAGACUCAAGACACAAAACCCCAGCCUCCAGUGUCAAACUCCUGUGCUCUGUCCACCACUACACUUCCCAAUGACUUCUGUGCAGUAGAAGAAUGUUGCUCUUCCUGGACAGGCAAAAACCUGCUUCAUGAAUAUAAUCCAAACAGCAAUAAUGCUCACACGAAACUCUAACUCAGUAUGAAUUAUUAUUGACGUCUUUGACCAAAACUAAAAUCAAACACUUUAGUCUUGUGGCAGCAUAGUCUAUGCACUGCACCUAAUGUGCCUUGAACGCACCUUGAUGGCCUGAUAGCCUAUCCGUGAGCAGGGGCCAGUAUUUAAGACGGCCCUCUCCCCUGCUCUUUUGCUUCCCAAUUCACUUCCGGUAGCAGGCCGGCUUCCUUUUUACCACAGCGUGCGUCCCGCUGUGUGUACUGCUCUGUCGCUCCUGUAUGCUCCUGUUUGGCAUGGUAAGUGUUCUCUCUCUCUGCAUCAUAGUAUUUGCAUUCCGACAUCUAAUGCUAGUGUGGUCGUAGGAAAUGCUGAUGUCCAGAUUUGUCCCUCUCGUCCGCCCACCUGUAUGAGUGUGUGUGUGCGCGCAUCCACUUCUGCUAAAGUUGUCAGAGGCCGGUGGUGGUGGUGGCGUCGGUGACUGGUGGUGGUGUCCCCCUCAUUUGAUGUGCUGUGCUCCCUGGUGGUGGUUCCUUCAAUGUGUGUGUGUGGGUGAUUUAUUUCUAUUUAUUUUGGGUGAACCGCUCCUGUUCACUAGUACCUGCCCACCUGGUAAGCCUCUGCUCCUGACUAGUUGCCCUUUUUUUGGUGUGAAUGAUUUUGAUUGUUAAUUAUUUUAACCAAUUGUAAUAAAAUAUAUUUUUAUACCUCGAA